rnacentral:pre_miRNA from 1 species
AUAACAUUCGGACGUCGGUCUACCGAGCAAUAUCACCAGCUCGGUGGAAGAUCUUCCCUUUGUCGU